GACGAACCGUGCGAACGUUGUUCGGAAUCACUGGGCUUAAAGGGCUCGUAGGCGGCCAACUAAGUCGGAUGUGAAAUCCCCAGGCUUAACCUAGGAACUGCAUCCGAUACUGGAUGGCUUGAAUUCGGGAGAGGGAUGCAGAAUUCCAGGUGUAGCGGUGAAAUGCGUAGAUAUCGGGAGGAACACCAGUGGCGAAGGCGGCUUCCUGGCCUGUUCUUGACGCUGAGGCGCGAAAAGCUAGGGGAGCAAACAGG
rnacentral:rRNA from 1 species